rnacentral:lncRNA from 1 species
UUCUUCUAUGUGUGUUAGCUCAUAUUCCAGUGGGUGACAUGAAUCAUGAAAAGCCUGUGACAUGGAGCCCCUAGGAAAAUGAUGUAAAAUGAGUCACUGGAGCUGACUGAACAAAGAAAUAUUGAAAAUCCAAAUGAAUAUUAUUCAGAUAUGUGGCUGUGGCGACAUUUUACUUCAUUAAUCCCCAGCAACAUGUUGAAGGACAUCACUAUUACUGCUCAUUCUCCUGCCAGUCUCUCUUUGAGGAGAAUAUAUGAAGACUCUAAACCACUGAGAUGAAAACACUAGAGCUCAGGUGGAAACAUGAAACGGAGGAGGAAAGAAUUAUGGAAAAUUAAAUAUAAUUCCAAAAGUAGAAUGUUAAAUAAUGUUAAUAUAAAACUGGAGCUGUAGGAAAACAAGAUCCAUUUCUUGUAUUUGAUGUAUUCUAAUGAAGAGUACUAUGGUAUAAAAGAACAAUUUAUCAGCAUAUCCUAAGAAGAAUUUUGUGAAUGCAUGCUGGAAGUACAAUAAGGACCAGUAAAUUAAUAUAAAGGAUAUUUUUUGCCUAUUAAUAAAAUCUAUUCUGGAGUAGUGCA